CACUUAACACAGAGAAAUUGGGACAAAGAUAGAUAAGCAUUAAGAGAAGACAAUUAUUAUAUAGCACCACAGCUUAAACAAUAAAAAUUACACAUUCAUAAUUUCACAUACGGUAAAAUUCUGCUAAUAAACCAUGGGUUCAUACAACUUCAUAAGGAGUUUUUCUGGAAGGUUCCAGAUAAUUUUUUGAUGCAGGGUGUCAAUAAGCAAUUCCAACGGGUCAAUUCCCACUGUUCCCAUCAAAUCAUUAUAAAUUUUCUUUUAAUUUGUCAGGUCAUGUAGCUGACCUUGUCAGGUUUUUAACCUGAGACCCCUCACUUAUCUGGGACACUGUUUGGGUGGACUUAUAAUCAGAGCAGCUGUCAUCCAGGGGGGCUUAUAAGUGGUGUAAAAGGGUGUAUUGAAAUAAGCUAAUGAAACCAACAUUGAGUACGAUAAAAAGAUGUUUUAUGCUCUUGGGAACAAGAAACACAAGGCAAAUUAAGCAAGAAAACAAGUACACAGGGCACAAAGAUCAUUGUAUGAAUAAGUUUCAUCAUAAUGGUAAAUAACUGCUGAGAAGGUACACAAAGUAAAGGAGGGCUUAUUUCCAGAACAACUGUUUUUUGGAUACAUAAAGAGGGGUCUAUAACUGGAGUGGGGUGGGGUGGGGGGAGGGCUUAUAAACAGGAAGUUAUAGUUAGAAUUUUACAAUAUCUGCAAUAAUUUGUAAAUAAGCCAUAUGAAUCAGUUGCUUGUAAUACACCUGUCACAUUGUCAUAGAAAUCACCCUGUAAAAAAGCAUGUGGUGAAUGCUGCACUUCUGUAACUCUGCAGCAAAUUUAGAACUAAUAUGAUUUGUUCUGAUAAGCAGAACUGAUCAUGUGAACUUUUGAUGAUCAAAUAAAUUAUUGAUUUUCCUUUCUUUACAUUUUGUAAAUGUAGUGUUUCCUGAAAGAAAAAGAUAACAUAAUCUAUUAAAUGUUUCUUUCUACAGUAGCUAUGGAGUUCUAUCAUGAAAUGGGGAAACACUCAACUUCAGAUCACAUUUUUACAUAGCAUUUCAUGCUCCUCCAAACUUGUGUGUCCAUGUUUUUUUUACUUAACAGGAACAUGGAAAAUGUUUCCUAUUUAUCAAAUACAUUGUCAUAUUUUUAAAAGUCCUUUAUGGUUUGUUCUUUUAUUUCAUUAUUUACCAACAACAUGUAGGUCAACAUUCCUCAAA